rnacentral:rRNA from 1 species
GAUGAACGCUGGCGGCAUGCCUAACACAUGCAAGUCGAUCGGUAAGGCUCUUCGGAGUACCCGAGAGGCGGACGGCUGAGUAACGCGUAGGAACACACCCUGCAGUGAGGGAUAAGACACCGAAAGGUGUUCUAAUACCGCAUACGGUCUUCGGAUUAAAGCAUUUAUGCGCUGAAGGAGUGGCCUGCGUCAUAUUAGAUAGUUGGUGAGGUAAUGGCUCACCAAGUCGAUGAUGUGUGGCUGGUCUGAGAGGAUGAUCAGCCAGACUGGAACUGAGACACGGUCCAGACUCCUACGGGAGGCAGCAGUGAGGAAUAUUUCACAAUGAGCGAAAGCUUGAUGGAGCAAUGCCGCGUGCAGGAUGAAGGCCCUCGGGUUGUAAACUGCUUUUAUAAGAGAAGAUUAUGACGGCAACUUAUGAAUAAGGGACGGCUAACUACGUG